UACGUAGGGUGCAAGCGUUAAUCGGAAUUACUGGGCGUAAAGCGUGCGCAGGCGGUUGUGCAAGACAGAUGUGAAAUCCCCGGGCUUAACCUGGGAAUUGCAUUUGUGACUGCACGGCUAGAGUGUGUCAGAGGGGGGUAGAACUCCACGUGUAGCAGUGAAAUGCGUAGAGAUGUGGAGGAACACCGAUGGCGAAGGCAGCCCCCCUGGGUCAAGACUGACGCUCAUGCACGAAAGCGUGGGGAGCAAACAGG
rnacentral:rRNA from 1 species